UUGCAGACAUAUUUGCAGCAUGUGAUCUCGUCACUUUAACACUAUAAGCAUUUGGGAUCAAGAUGAGACUUAGUGGGGACAAACCACGACAAUUCACGUCGUUCCACUUGAACACUUGUGUUCUUAUCUCCCCCUAACGGCGGGAAUAUUGUCUCAUCAAAGUGACAAUCCGCAAUUUAGCGGUGAAUGAGAUCGCCUGACAAGGUUGCUACAUAUGCGGAUUAUAGGUGGAGGUUCAUAUCCAACCUAAACUUAUUCAUCUCAAAUGACCCAUCAUUGUACGCAGUGGCAAUGCAAUUUGGCACCUAGAAAUAACAUCUAGCCGAGCUCAAGGAUUGGAGAUCCGUUUCAAUCCUGCCGAGCUCAAGGAUUGCAAUUUCGUGUCAAUCCUGGUACAUAGUCACGAGCUGUAGUACAACAAAAUUCAAUGAUGGUGGGUCGUAGAUGAAUAGUAAAGCUGCAUGCAAAUAUUGCAUAGCCCCAAGACGCAAUAGAAAGAGUAGUGCGCAUCAAUAAUGUUCGAGCGACAAGCUAAAGUUGCUUGGUCAUAGCCUCGGUGAGACCGUAUUGCGUGUGAACAUGGGGUACAGGACACUUCAACUUACAUCCCGAUGAACUUCUUUAAAGAAUGGGUAGUGAGCCCGUAGAAGUAUAAGCAGUAUAAGCAGUAUAAGCAGUAGAUAAUAGUGUAACAUGUGACCAGUGUGCUAACACUUCAACCAAUACCAUAAAGCAUAAAAGGUGUCCGCAAGUUGGUUGUAUCUAUCUACAUAAUUUUAUGUAAGAAUAGAAUGUUCACUUUUGUGUUAUUUAGCAUAGGAGGGUCUCACUCCUAAUUUAGCUAAAGAAUAGGCUUUCAAAACGAGCAAUGAGCAUUGCAGGGGGCCAAUGCGACAUCGAGGAAAGGCCGGUGCACCUCAAUUGCUUGAGGAAUUGACCGAACGACCUCUAGGAAGUUGGAGUCAUGUUCGGGUGACGUCAAUGUCCCCCGGGUCACCACCAUGCUUCAUGGUGAUGCUAGGUCUC
rnacentral:lncRNA from 1 species